UACGUAGGGUGUAAGCGUUGUCCGGAAUUAUUGGGCGUAAAGAGCUCGUAGGCGGUUCGUCGCGUCGGCUGUGAAAUCCCGGAGCUCAACUCCGGGUCUGCAGUCGAUACGGGCGGACUCGAGUUCGGCAGGGGAGACUGGAAUUCCUGGUGUAGCGGUGAAAUGCGCAGAUAUCAGGAGGAACACCGGUGGCGAAGGCGGGUCUCUGGGCCGAUACUGACGCUGAGGAGCGAAAGCGUGGGGAGCGAACAGG
rnacentral:rRNA from 1 species